rnacentral:lncRNA from 1 species
CCGGGUUCCAGUCCCACCGGGGCCUACAGUUCUCGGCAAACAACCUCGGGUAAGUUACCCAGCCGCACGGAGCCUCAGUUUCCCUGCAAGGAAACAGCCCAUCUCGGAGAAAAAUGCCCCUUUCCAGCCUCCGGGGACCCUUGCAGGCAAACUGCCAGGGAGCACGGCAGCCCGGCUGGGAAGCCUGGGAAGCGCCAAGUCACAACUGCCUUCAGCUCUCCUGCGCUCGCUCCUCCUCGGUGGGGGAGGGAGGGGUCUGCGCCCAGGCGGGGAGGCGCCCCGGGGCUCCCGAGUUCCCGACCCUGACUGUGGGCAGGGUGCGAGAGGAGCCCCGGGCCCCAGAGGGCCGGAGGAGCCCCGGGCCACCACCGUCCUCGCAGCCCCAGCCCGCGCAGGCACCCGGUCCCCGAGCCUCCCGCUCCAGCGCCCCGGGGGGCGGGGGGCGUGUGCGUGAGCGUCUCCAGUGGCAACGGCGCCGUCGCCGGGCAACCCGCGCGCCCCAGGCCCGCCGCGCCCCGGGGAGCCCCUUGGGGGAGGGGGGUGCAGAUGGCAGGGGGGACCCGCGGCAGCCCCUGGCUGGAGCUGCUCACGGGGUUGGGCCACCUGGGCCGCCCUGUGCCGGCACCCGCACGGAGGGAGGCAGGACACCCAGACCUUGCUGAAUCCCGGCAAGUCCUUUCCUUCUCUGGGGAACAGAAACAGGGGAGCUUCUCCGCCUUCUCCUGAGGCGGGGGUGAGGGGCAAAGGGGGCGCAGUCUGGGCGCCUGGUGAGUUGCCAGUCGGCAGGAGAUCCUCGGGGGCCAGUGGGGCACAGUGCCCGCGUCAGGGUGUGGGAUCCAGGUGAUGUCCAGCUCAGGACUGGCCCAUCUGGGGUCUUUACGGGCAGAGGGCAGCGUGGGGGACCCGUCUCCUGAGGCCCCAGAGCUCUGGCAGGGUUUGGGUUUCUCUCCCCUUGGGGUGCCUGCAUUUAGGGUAGCAUCGACCACUGCCUGCGCUGGCCUGAUUCGGUGCUUCCUCACCACCCCACGUCACACGAUCCAACCCCAAAGUCACCGGGUUCCAACAUCUCACCCCCCCCCCGCCACCAAUCGAAAUCCAGAUCAGCGAGUGUGACCCAUGAACUUGGAGAGCCUCGGGAGUGGGAUCUGGCAGAGGGGACUUUGGCCGCUUCAGGGAUGAGAUACCGUGGCACCUCUCCCCCGCCAGUGCCCAGCCCAGGUCAGCAGCACAGCCUGGGUGCCUGUCGUUGUCCCAAGGUUCCGGCUGCAGCCUCAGGACGGGGAGCCCGGGCCAAGACUGAUGGACAUGGAGUCUACCCCCACGGGCGAGGUGGGGGCUGACAGUGACUCACUAACUGGUCCGCUGCCUGGCUUCAGAGGGGAUCGGCUGGGCCUUACCACUUCCCCGCUGGCUGACCCUGAGCAGGUGACCUGACCUCCCUGGUCCUCAGUUUCCUCAGUCUAUGAAAUGGGGACAAAAGUAAGACUUUGUGGGGUGGUAGGGCGGUGCCGGAUGCCAGGCUCAGCCCCUCCCUCCUUUCCCAGCCUCUCUUUGGCCCUCAUUGCCUUCUGGUGUGUCCCCAGUACCCCCCCCCCCGCCGUUUUCCUCAUUUCCUCCCCCUUCCCCCACCCCUCAUCGUUUCAUCUCAUCUCCGUCCCCCUCUUCUCCGCUAUCAGUUUCGUUUCUCUGCUUGAACAUUUGGCGAGGCCCCGCCUGCUCGGCUUCGAGCCCCACCGGCCCCGGCUGCGCGCGUGGGUCCUGCCCUCCUGUUGCCCAGGGGCCGAGGGUGGGGGGUGGGGACGAGUGCUGACGUCACAGGACGUUUAUCCGCCCCUCCCCGCCUAACGCAAAUUUCAUCCCCCGUUCUCUCCGAAUCAAUUUACUUUUAUUGCCUCAGCUGCUCAGAAGCAAUUUUUCAAGAACAAAAAGGUCAGCACGUCCAAGACUAAUCAAUUCUCGGAGAGCUCCUGCCGCCACCGCCGGGGGAGCUGGGGACCGGUGGCCCCCGCCCUUCCCGCCGGCCCCCUCCCGCCAGCCCCAUCACUUUUAUUGCUUCGUGAUGGCUGUCAUUAGCGGGGUGUUGGAGACGCCCCACAGUGUUCUUACAACAUAAAACCCGGGCCGCUUGCAGAGGGGGGGCCGGGCGCAUUUAUGGCCACUCGCCGACUCUGGACGGUAACAGCCGAACUGAUGGAUCGCCCGCAAGGGGAGCCAGGACAGGAAGCAUCCAGCCACUUGUUCAAAGGCUCGGCAGGCAGGCCGGAGGAGCCGGGGCCCUGCCUGCCUGCUCUCGGGCCUGGCCCGCUUUCCCUCACCCCGCCCCCCUUCACUGUGACCUUGGGCACCUGCCCCCUGCCAUCCCUUCCAGGACUUUUCCCCCUGGUCCCCGCUGCAUCCCUGCUCACGGGCAGAAUAUUCCUUCCGGAGCAUCCCCUGCCCUCAGAAUGAGGCCAAGGCCCGUCCCUUCCAACACCGUGGGGUCUGCACUCCCAUUCCAGAGGGAGAAACUGAGGCCCGGUGUCACAGAAGUAGGAAGGGGCUACAUGCAGAUUGGGUCGCAUGCACGAGCAGGUGCCCGGUGGCGAACAGGUCUGCGGUUCUAGGCUUUGCUUGUCCGUGGCCCCGGCUGUCCUCGUCCCCUGUCACCCUGCCAUCAGGUGCCCACACCAACAACAGCAGCUAAAAUGCACCGAGGCUUCCGGGCAGACCCCGCCCUUCGCGCACUUGGUAGGUGAUGCCUCUGGCUCCGGGACAGCACUGUCGUUAGCCACUCUUAUGCCCACUUUUCAGAUGAGGAAGCCCACACAGGGAGACCGAGCAGCAGACCCCAGUCCACACGGCUGGGAACAGGGGCUGGGGCCCAACUCUCUGCGUUUUGCUUUUUAAAGACUGGCUGAGGAUAUGAACUAUGCGGAAAAGGCCAAAUCCACAGGUGCCGAAGACAGACUGGUGGUGGCCGAGGACCGUGGGGAGGGGGGUGGGGAGAGACUGCGUAAUGGCCAUGAGCUUUCCUUCUGAGGGCCCGAGAAUGUUCUGGAACCAGGCAGAGGGGUUGGUUGCACAACGUUGUGGAUGUGCUAAACGCCCCUGAGCGGUACAGUGUAAAACAUGGUUGAUUUCAUGUUAUGUGAACUUCACUCCAAU